UACGUAGGUCCCGAGCGUUGUCCGGAUUUAUUGGGCGUAAAGCGAGCGCAGGUGGUUUAUUAAGUCUGGUGUAAAAGGCAGUGGCUCAACCAUUGUAUGCAUUGGAAACUGGUAGACUUGAGUGCAGGAGAGGAGAGUGGAAUUUCAUGUGUAGCGGUGAAAUGCGUAGAUAUAUGGAGGAACACCGGUGGCGAAAGCGGCUCUCUGGCCUGUAACUGUCACUGAGGCUCGAAAGCGUGGGGAGCAAACAGG
rnacentral:rRNA from 1 species